rnacentral:rRNA from 1 species
GAUGAACGCUGGCGGCGUGCCUAAUACAUGCAGGUCGAGCGAACGGACGAGAAGCUUGCUUCUCUGAUGUUAGCGGCGGACGGGUGAGUAACACGUGGAUAACCUACCUAUAAGACUGGGAUAACUUCGGGAAACCGGAGCUAAUACCGGAUAAUAUUUUGAACCGCAUGGUUCAAAAGUGAAAGACGGUCUUGCUGUCACUUAUAGAUGGAUCCGCGCUGCAUUAGCUAGUUGGUAAGGUAACGGCUUACCAAGGCAACGAUGCAUAGCCGACCUGAGAGGGUGAUCGGCCACACUGGAACUGAGACACGGUCCAGACUCCUACGGGAGGCAGCAGUAGGGAAUCUUCCGCAAUGGGCGAAAGCCUGACGGAGCAACGCCGCGUGAGUGAUGAAGGUCUUCGGAUCGUAAAACUCUGUCAUUAGGGAAGAACAUAUGUGUAAGUAACUGUGCACAUCUUGACGGUACCUAAUCAGAAAGCCACGGCUAACUACGUG